AGUGAACGCUGGCGGUAGGCCUAACACAUGCAAGUCGAACGGCAGCACAGUAAGAGCUUGCUCUUACGGUUGGCGAGUGGCGGACGGGUGAGGAAUACAUCGGAAUCUACUUUUUCGUGGGGGAUAACGUAGGGAAACGUACGCUAAUACCGCAUACGACCUACGGGUGAAAGCAGGGGAUCUUCGGACCUUGCGCGAUUGAAUAAUCCGAUGUCGGAUUAGCGAGUUGGCGGGGUAAAGGCCCACCAAGGCGACGAUCCGUAGCUGGUCUGAGAGGAUGAUCAGACACACUGGAACUGAGACACGGUCCAGACUCCUACGGGAAGAAGCAGUGGGGAAUAUUGGACAAUGGGAGCAGGCCUGAUCCAGCCAUACCGCGUGGGUGAAGAAGGCAUUCGGGUUGUAAAGUCCUUUUGUUGGGAAAGAAAAGCAGCAGGUUAAUACCCCGCUGUUCUGACGGUACCCAAAGAAUAAGCACCGGCUAACUUCGUG
rnacentral:rRNA from 1 species